UUUUGGAGAGGGGUGGUGGAGGGGCAGAGGGAGAGAAUCUUAAGCGGGCCCCACGCCCAGCGCGGAGCCUGACGUGGGGCUUGAUCUCAUGACGGUGAGACCAUGACCUGAGCUGAAAUCAAGAGUCGGAUGCUUACCUGACUGAACCACCGAGGGUUGUUUUCCUUCUUUAAAUUGUCUCCUCGGGGCGCCUGGGUGGCUCAGUCGGUUAAGCAUCUGACUUCGGCUCAGGUCACGAUCUCGUCGCGGUUUGCGGGUUCGAGCCCCGCGUCGGGCUUUGUGCCGACAGCUCAGGGCCCGGAGCCCGCUUCGGAUUCUGGGUCUCCCUCGCUCUCUGCCCCUCCCCCGCUCACGCCCUGUCUCUCUCUCACUCUCUUUCUCAAAAAUAGAGAAACAUCAAAAAAUUUUUGAAAACAUUGUCUCCUCAGCCCCGCUGUAUCACUUAGUCCUCCCAAAAUCUGUGAGGGAGAAGCGGACCAUUGAGCCCAUUUUCCAGGUGAGAAUCCUGAGUCCACAAGAGCUGUUUCUUGGCCCCUCUGAACGUGGCCAGGGUGGUUCCUGUUGGUACAUCCACAUCCUGAACCUGGAGUGACCUGCUCUCUUCUUGGGCAUCUUCAGUCCCUACCUUGGCCUCGGGUAGCUGGAGAGGUAAGGAAUCUCAACAGCUCUCCUGGGGAAGAUUCAGCUCAAAUCCGCAAUUACUGAGGGCUUCUCCGGGGUCCAGCGCAUUGUCAGGCAACUGGGUGUGAUGAAAAGAACACUAACUAGCUUUGGAAACCCAGUCCCUGCCCUACUUUUUAACGGCUGUACCACCUCGCCCAAGAUACCUGACCUCUCCAGCCUGAGUUUGCCCAUCUAAGAACGGAGGGUGAUGACGUCUAUCUCACAGGCUCACGAGGACACGGUGUGAAAAACGCCUUGGACGUGCAGCAGGAGCGUAAUACAUGCGAUUAGUACUGUACUUGUUUGGUACCUGGUAUCUCAUUUAAAACAUCACGAUAAUUCUGCAAGUUAGGCUAUGCGCUCGCGUACAGAGGCCGAGGACCUUACUCACGACAAUACGACGAGGUCAAACCCGGGGGUCCUUGUCCAGGGCUGGCACUGCUUCCUCUGCCCUGCCCACUAGAGGCCCUAGGACAAUCGUGGACUCCCUUCAACCACGGGGGGUGUAGCACCCAGUGCUGCCCACAGCUCGCGUUCCAGGGAGCCGUUUGUAAAGCGAAAGCCCACGGUAGGACCACCUGCUUCGAGCCAGGAGCUUCCUAAAAGCAUGCAAAAUUCUAAUGAACUCAGGGAAGGCGAGGGUCUGCUGAUGCUGAACGUUCAGUGAGGCCGGGAAGGAUUGGGAGCAGCGACCGACUGUGUGGUCUGGGGCAGGUCACCGCAGGAAGUCGUGGGGCGCCCACAAACGGACCACCUGUGCCAAGUCCCCAGAGGGAGACCUCAUGGGGGUGCCCUGCGAGUUGGGUGACUGGAGGGAUAUUCCUAACUGAUGGGGCUCCAGGUCCUUUCUGAGAGCUCUGAGGUUAGUAACAUCUUCAAAGAGUAGAACCUUUGGGACCGGAGAAGCAACAGCCUCAGUCCUUCGUGUUAGUAAACAUAAAGUGCCUACAGUAGGAGCCGCUCUUCUGAGUGGACACAGGUUGAAUUGGCCUGGUUAAGAGAGAAAAUUCAAAUCUUUCCUGCCAUUAACCUCCCUGUUAUGCACAGUCACUGAAAAUAUCUUUCUAAGUAUAUUUAAAACCUAUUUUUAAAUGUGUACUUCUAAAUAUUGAAAAAAUAUAUACUUAUAAAUAAGGAAACAUUCACCAGUACGCUCUCAUUUUGAUUUUAAAGUUGCCCUCCAAGGGAAGGAAGGCUGAGGCUCGGGGAAGAUAACAUCUUUUAUUUAAUUCAUGGCAGAACACAGGUCUUUCUGAUAUCCAGCACCCUUCCUUCAGCCCUUCCUUCCCUGGGACAGUCAGAAGGGGCGACGGUCCCCAGAGCCAUUUUUUCUCCUCUCGUUUCUUCGUGUCCUCUGAUUUAGAGGUCACGAGAUGCAGAAAAUAAUAUGAGAUGAGGGAGCAGAACUUCCUGAGUUGGCCAGAGUCCCAGAGUGGACUCCAAAGCCUAGACGUGUACAGGAUGGGGAAGGCAGUCAGGAGAACAGGACGGUCUGGACUCACCUGGAUGCUGGCAGAGAAGGACAAGGAUGAAGCAUGCUGGGUGCCUUCUGCCUUCAGUGUCGGUGUUCCAACACCCCCCCCCCCCCAACUACAGAGAAGGCACCUCACCUG